rnacentral:rRNA from 1 species
UACGAAGGGGGCGAGCGUUUGUUCGGAAUUACUGGGCGUAAAGGGCGCGCAGGCGGCUCUGAAAGUCAGAUGUGAAAGCCCCGGGCUUAACCUGGGAAUUGCAUUUGAUACUCUGGAGCUUGAGUGUGGGAGAGGAGAGUGGAAUUCCCAGUGUAGAGGUGAAAUUCGUAGAUAUUGGGAAGAACACCGGUGGCGAAGGCGGCUCUCUGGACCACAACUGACGCUGAGGCGCGAAAGCGUGGGGAGCAAACAGG